UUGAGGAAACAUCUGAAACCUGCAGGGACACCGGCCCUCGUAGACUGAGAUUGCCCACCCCUGGCUUAGAUAUUUGGAGCUUAAAGAGAGCAGCAGGAAGAGUGUUAGAGGACAUAGAUGGCAUCAAUAAAAUCCACCCGGUCCUUAAAAGAUGGAUGCUGGUGAUCUGGAUCAAAACGUCCAUCCCGGUAAAAAAAGACAUAUUCUGAUCCCAGGUCAGCUCUGCUCCACUCUACAGCUAUGAUGUUGUUGUUGUUUGGAGCUCGACAUGUCAGAGUGACGUCCUGUCCAGCUGUGAUGUUUAUCUCUGAAAGAGAGGACACAAUAUGGAUCAUGGUUAAAGAUUCAAAGUGUUAUGAUUAUCACGAUGAGCUACACGUGGAGAUCACUGAUUUCUGAUGAACCAGUGGAAGUACAGCACACACUGGAUGCUGAAAUUGAUCACGCUGGUGUUUUUCAUGAGAGACAGUUACGACUCAAUGCUGGACAUGUUUUGAAAUUAAACAUCUUUUAUUUACAGAUUUAUUUCUCAGUGACUUUUUGAUCCAUCUUUAAUUAAAUUCCUUUAACACUUAAAGAACUUAAUUAGUUAAUUGUCAUCUACUUUUACUUAUUCACUUUUAGUAAGAUUUGACAAAGCAAGUAUUUAGGAUAUUUUUUAUGGGGUUUAAUAGUUUUUUUAAAUGAUUUAGAUUUGUAGGGACAAUCAUCGGUCCUUUUUUGUCGCUUCUGCAGGACGUAAAGUUUGUGAGUCGUGCUUUUCUAAGAAAGCUUGUUUGCCAUUUGGUAGCAAAAAACAAAGCAAAUGUAAAAAAGGGGGAAAAAAUUAUUCCACACAAAAACUACAAAACCAAUCUCUCCAGUUGAAGCCCCGAUUACAUUUUCCUGAUAUUCAAUUCAAAUCAAUUUAAUUCGAUUCAAUUCAAUUUUAUUUAUAUAGCGCCAAAUCACAACAACAGUCACAUCAAGGCGCUUUAUAUUGUACAUUAUUAUAUUUGUUUUAUACCUAAAACAACUAUAAACAGUGAAGUUCUGAAAAGGACACAAAAAUGACCCUCUUGGCGGUUCUAGUUUUAAGUGGAAAACUGACUCAUUUUCAUCUUUUUUUGUUUUUGCCGAAGAAGCGGAUGCAUUUUAUAUUUUGUAAUCCAGAUUUUCAGUUUUACAGAUGUUUUCGUCUGCAGUUAUUUUAGACUAACGACACCUACUAGUGAGCUUUCAGGUUUAUAUUAAAAGCCACUGAAAAAAAUAUUACUGGCUUAAAACAAAUACACUGUAAACAAAAAAAAAAAAAUCCUGUGAUUGGACUCCAAUUUUUAUGCUUUUGCGAAAUAAAUUAUAUUAAAUUAUAAUAAAUUAUAAGCAGACUCUUUCUCUGUCAUGCCAUGGAUCAUUCCUUCACCUGCACACAUCUUGUUCAGUGUGCCUAACAUGGUACUGAGUUAAUAAACACACCGUUUUAACUGUUAAUCAUCCCAAAUUUUAUGUUUCAUGUUUUAUCAGGUCAGACAAAACUAUCGUUAAGCUCAGCUGUAUUAUAAGAGUAACACCUGCUUACCUUCAGAGGCAGAAAGUAGAAAAAAGACACACAGCAGAGUCCAGAAGAGUCCUUGCUGGAUCAGGUUCAGCACAGCCAUGCUGUCUCAGCAUUAACAGGCUCAACAAAACCUAAAAUCUCAGUUGGAGGCCUGAGACUACAAGGAGUGAUUACUGAUGUUCUCUGAUUAACUCUUUGCCUUUUAAACUGCUAGACAUGACAUUAGAACCACCCACUGCCCAACAGCUGCACAGUUCAGUGGGAAACCUUAGAAACUGUGAUAGCAGCUCAGAGGAUAGACUUUAAAGUUCUGAUGCUGGUCUAUAAAGCUCUGAAUGGUUUAGGACCAAAAUACAUUAGUGACCUCCUGACCCAGUAUGAACCUUCCAGAUCCCUCAGCUCAUCUGGAUCCGGAUUUUUAUUAGUCCCCAGAGUCAGAACCAAACACGGAGAAGCUGCAUUCAGCUUUUAUGCUCCAUAUAUCUGGAACAAACUCCCAGAAAGCCUCAGAGCAGCUGAAACACUCAGUUUAUUUAAAUCCAGGUUGAAGACUCACCUGUUCUCAGCUGCAUUUGAAUAAAGCACCAAAUCCACACUGUUUUACGUUUAAGCUUAAAUAUCAAAACAUACUCUUUUUUUCCCCCAUUUUAAAUCAUUUUUUUAUUUGUUUUUGUUUUUAAUGUCUCUGUGAAGCACUUUGAAUCACCUUGCUGUUGAAUUGUGCUAUAUGAAUAAAAUUGCCUUACCUUGCCUUAGUGAGAUUGGUGCUUAUGGGAGGAGUUGGUCGUCAAGCCAAGUGAUUUUCUCCAAGACCAUGGUGCUACAUAUAACAGGCAAUCAACACAGGACUACAUACAGUUCAGUGUGGAAAAAUAG